GCCCGCCUAGCUCAAUCGGAUAGAGCGUCAGACUUUUACGAAGUCCGCAAGGCGGGGGUUCAGAUAAUCUGAAGGCUGCGAGUUCGACCCUCGCGGUGGGCU